UGUAACACCGAUUCCCGUAUGAUCACACAAGAUAAGCAACGUCAAGCUUGGUCAGUACCUCGAUGGGUGACCGUUUAGGAAUAGCAGGUGUUGUA